GUUGUCAUGGAGCAUCCGGUGAUGGCGCAUAUCUCCAACGCCAUCGCUGCCUCCGGGAUAACUCCGAUUCUUCUUGAAACAGGUCAUCGUCGUCGCCGCCAUUGUCCUUGCUGCCCCCUGGAAUCUAUCCCGUCCUUUUCCCCCUAGGGUUGGGAUUUCGGAGGUGGAGCGGAAUGAGGCAGGGGGCGAGAGCCGAGAGGCUUGUCACACGUGCUGGAAAAUGCUGCUGGGAAGGAUAGAAUCGGGAAGAGAAGUCUACAGCUCAAAGUAGCCUCCGGUGUGUUCCUUUCAAGUCUUGUAAUAAUGUUUUAUUUUUGGCCCUCC
rnacentral:lncRNA from 1 species